AAUCAACAGACCCUUCCAGUGAACACACAAAAGAAACGAGCUAGUGACAUUAUACAAUCAUCUUGGACUUUCAAAUGAAUCCAACACAUGAAAGAGGAACUACUAAAACCAUUCAGUACUAAUUGUCCCAGCAUAUUUACACAUCAGAAUCUGUCUAUAUCGAAAUUUUGUAUUUCUUUGGCAGUAAUCCACAGACUAUGAACCAUUAGUCAACCAACUAUGACUAAACAAAAUGAAUAAAGCUCAAUCUAUGAAAUGAUAGACAAACUUAAUCUAAAAUAUCAAAACAACUAUCCUAAUGGCUAUGAUGGAAAUUUCAGCAAUAGUCUUUUUGAAGGAUGCCAGAUCUUCCAUAUACACCCAGAGUUCCAUUUUAGCUUUGAAUCCUAAGGAUCUAACCAUGUCAAAUAUUAGAUCCACCAAGGGCAUGGCUUCCCACAUGUUACCAGUAAUACUACCAUACAAAUGCAGCCAACAAAUACAAGAAUAUUAGCCCAGAAUGACAAAAAACAGUAUACAUAACCUAAAUCCAACGGAUACAAGUACUAUGUUUAACGCACAAGACAACAUGUUUAUUAUGGCAUGAGAAACAUUGAACUUAACAAGGAAUCAUAUGGUCAAAGAAAACUUAAAUGUUAUUGCAUUCAUGAGAAUGAAUCUCAUUAUAUAAAAACAACAUCAAAUAGGAGUCUCUUGCAUUCAUAUCAAAUCAGAUUUGCAAAUACUUAAACAUAGGGUGAGAUGUGUACCUAGCUGCUUAAGAAUUGCUCCAAAAAAUACUAAGUAAAGGUAAGUAGUUCAGGAGCAAGGAGACAGCAGUAAUAAUGAAUAGUUAGCUUCAAUACCAGAUCACACUUCAGUUUUAGAACCCAAAACUCCAAAGGAGACGGCUCCAAAUUUUAGUGAAGAAGAAGAAUAUAAAAGAGCUGAUUAAAACAAGCUGGACUUUUCAUAGAGUCUUCAGGUCUGUUUUUUGUGUGAAUUAAAUGUGGGGAGGGUCUUAAUAUAUAACUAAAGGAAUAAGGCAUUGUCCUUUUAGAUAAGGAAAUCAUUCCCUAUCAGAAAAGGGCAUCUUUCCUAACAGAAAAGGGACAGCUGGUUCCUUCUGAUUAGCUUCAGCAAUUUAAAUUGGCAAAAGAGCCAGCUGUCCACAUUUAGAAGCGUCUAGAUGCUCUACUUGAAACCUUUAUUUUACAUCUUACAAAUGACCCCUUCUUGUUUCUUUUUGUUCUAUUACCCCCUAAAAGUUUCUAAUGAUUUACACACCAUAACAAACAAUCAACAAAACCAGCAAUUAUAGGACUAAAGUAACAAAUAAACAACAAAACAGUGCAAUUAAAUCUUAUAAUAUUAAGCAUCUAAACAAAGAAAACCUAAAUCAAGCUAAACCCUAGCGUGAACUAAGAUGAUGGAAUCAACAAGCAUUUUUCAUGCAAAAAAAUAGCCAAACUCAAAAGCAAACAUGUUUUUGACAAUUCAGGUUAAUAUAAGCAGAAUGAAAGGACACAGAAUUGACAAAGCGAAAAAAACUGUGAACCUUGUAACAUACAAACUAAACAGAGACGAUAAUUAUGAAGAAGGAAAAUAAAGAAGAACAAAAACAUAAAGGAAAGGGAAUACCAUCCUAGAUAGUUGCCGACUUGGAUCAGACUUAGUUGGGUACAUGAACUCAGACUUAAAUCAAUCGAUUGCUCUCAUCAAGAGCAAUUGACUGAUGUAAGUCAUGGGUUCAAACGACCAAUUUUGCAUGCCUAAAUCGGAGAUAGAGAUGAACCUAGGGUUUCAAACCUAGAUCCGAAAUUAAUAAAGUAAUGGUGGGGGUUUUGGGAAAUAGCCAACGGAUUAAGUUUUAAGGGCGUGUGAGGAGUGUGAGGUGUAGUUUUGGGGUUGUUUGGGCGAACUAGGGUUUUGGGCUUCAAUUUCAGAUCUGGAUUUAAAUGAUUUGGGUGGUGAUUUGGGAGAAAAUGGUGAUGGAUUAGUGUUCAAGGGGUGGUGAAGAGUGUAGAGGGUGAAUUUUGGGUGUUUUGGUGAUAGGCCGCCGCCGUGGGGCGAUUUCUGGCAGGCGGCGGCUAGUGGUGAAGAGAAAAAGAAUCAGGUUGGCUAGGGUUUGUGUUUUAGUGAGGGAGACAGG
rnacentral:lncRNA from 1 species